rfam:Rattus norvegicus chromosome 7, whole genome shotgun sequence.
GGGGAUUUAGCUCAAUGGUAGAGCGCUUGCCUAGCAAGCGCAAGGCCCUGGGUUCGGUCCCCAGCUCCG